rnacentral:rRNA from 1 species
CUACGGGCGGCUCCAGUGAGGAAUAUUGCACAAUGGGGGGAACCCUGAUGCAGCAACGCCGCGUGGAGGAUGACGCAUUUCGGUGUGUAAACUCCUUUUAUAUGCCAAGAAAAUGACGGUAGCAUAUGGAUAAGCACCGGCUAACUCCGUGCCAGCAGCCGCGGUAAUACGGAGGGUGCAAGCGUUACUCGGAAUCACUGGGCGUAAAGGACGCGUAGGCGGGUUGGAAAGUCAGGUGUGAAAUCCUACAGCUUAACUGUAGAACUGCACUUGAAACUUCUAAUCUAGAGUAUGGGAGGGGGAGAUGGAAUUAGUGGUGUAGUGGUAAAAUCCGUAGAUAUCACUAGGAAUACCUAAAGCGAAGGCGAUCUCCUGGAACAUUACUGACGCUAAGGCGUGAAAGCGUGGGGAGCAAACAGGAUUAGAUACCCGUGUAGUC